GGAUCUUUGAUGGAAUGAAUUAACUCGGUCAGAGGCGAGGUGCGGUAUGUGUCGUCUAUAUUCUUAUAAAAACGACAAAUAACACCUGACUCAUUCAACGUUUAACGUGUUCAUCACUUCACAGCCAAAAAGAUAAGUCAAGAAUGGCUAAAGAUCAAGUUCUGUGUCUUCUCCUGUUGAUGGCUGUUAUUUAUAAAACAUCAAAUGCCUGGUUUAUAAACUCACAUUGGCAAACAAAAAAUUGUUUUUGUCAGGUUCUUUUAAAUAAUGGGCCCAAAACAGUUGUCCACGAUAUGGGGUCCAUUAUCCGAUGUAAAGAAUUUUUCGGAUGUGGUUGUGGCAACUAUAAGAUGAGAUAUUGCGCUGUUAACUGUGAAGAUGAAGUUAAACGAUGGGCCCAGACCAGUUGUCCAUCCCAUCUGAUUGGUCAACAAAUCCGCGCCAAAUAUAAAGCCAGCUCUUGUCAUAAUGGACUAACCGGUGCUUUUAUUACCUGUUCCGGUAAUACUGGCAGUGCUAGUACUGGAGGAGGAGGCGGUGGUGUGAUAGCCAGCAGUGGCGGAGGAGGAGGCGGUGAAAGUGUUAGAGUCAGCGAUGAGCGAGGAGGUGGAAGUGUUAAAGUCCCGGUUGAUCACGAUGCCGUUGGUCCUAGAGAACUUGCUGAUGUUUACCAAUGAUAGGAUCAAGGCGGAUCCUGACCCCUUUAUAGAACAACGUUCGUUCGUGGGGCUUAACGUGCGUUUCUACUGAGGGUGCUAUCGCGACAAGAUAGACCAAGACUACAUCUAUAUUUCUAUAUGUCCAAUGUUUCCACCGGUUGAUUUCAGUCAAAUGAUUUUAAUGUGUUUGAAACAACUAUCAGCGAUAUGGCGUAAAAGAUGUUUUUAAUGUGGGAACUAUACACCUGUUCAGUGUGUCUCUAAACGAUUAAUUCAACAAAUCACAACACACGGGAUAAAACAGAAUAAGGGGAGAUAAUCCGUGCGGAAAAGUGCUAUCUAAUCAAAACACAGAUCCUAUUUCAUUUUGUGUUUUAUAGUUUAAAAAUUUCGUUUUACUUGUCUUUACUACACUAGGAUCUGGAAGAGUUGUUGUAUUACCGGCGUUCUGGUUUAAGUAAGGGGUUAGCCAAUGAACUGUCUCUUACGGUGAGUUCUUGGCGUGCGAUGCACGGAACUGUGGGUAAACCACUAGAAACGUCAACGAUGAUUGAUUAAUCAAUAUCUGACGUCAAAGGGUCAAAAACCGCUCGUACGACCCCUGACACGAUCUUCCAGUACCACCGGCCAGAUCAUCAUGUAGUGUAGGCCAUCAAAAGUAUAAAAUCAAAUGAAACGAAAUAUAGACCUUUUUUUAAAUCAGAUUGGGAAAAGUGUUUUUCCAUUAACAUUAAAAGAGAUUAUCAGAUUAAUUAAUUAUUCUGAAAAACGAAAUCCGAGUGUUUUACCAUGUACACAAUAAAAAGAAAAAGCUU